GCAAACUGGCCUUCCCCACGGAGGAGCUCAUGCUGGAAUGCAUGCAGACGCCGCGCUUCAUUUUCCUUUCAGCACAAGCCUCCUUGGAAUAGCCGGGUUACUGGCAGCCUCCCUGAACCAGUGCCAAACUGUGACUUUCAGUGCAGGAUCUGUGACUAACCCAGCGCUAACCAGUAGCCUUGCCCAAAGGAAAACAGUUGAAAUGAAGCAUGAAAUCAUCCCUCACGAACAUACAUCACAGGUGCCCCGUUCAAGAAAAAAUGCCAAGUGAGCUUGGAGGCAGCCUCACAUGAAAAAG